UAGGGAGCGCGAGCGUGAAGAAACCGGCCGCCAUCUUACUGUACCCACAACAGUCGCCGCAGCGAUCAUGGCAACUUCUUGCAAUUACGGUCGUACCAACCGUACUGGCAAGGUUACAGGGCCUAAAUUUAUACAGGUUUCGUCAUGAGGGCUACCCAGUGAAUAAUCUGUGCAGAGUGAUACGGCUGGGUGUACAGGUUACUUCACAGCUGCCUCGACAUACUCAAGAAAUGGGUGCAGAACCUGCGUAAUGCCCACAAACUUUGACUACCACAGCACCUCCAGAAAGUAAAGGCAUAUGUGUCACAUGGGAUUUUUAAAGGCAUUCACAGUAUAUAAUACCUUCGUAACAUGAAAAACGGUUAGGAGCAACUAAUAUUUAU